rnacentral:lncRNA from 1 species
CAGGACAGCAGGGAGCCAUUCUGGUCAGAGUCAGCGCCUCUGCCUCCACGGAGUGCCCAGAGGGAUGCUGCAAGAAUACCUGAUAAUGAUAACCGUCAGCAGAAAGUACUUGAAACAAGGUCAAGACUGUUACUGAUAAACCAAAGGAUAAUUAAACAAAAUGUACUCUAUGGGAAAGAUCCCCCCUCUCUUGAAAAAAUUAUACAUGUUCUUAUAGAUUAACUGUAAAACACA